rnacentral:lncRNA from 1 species
GUAGAGGUGGAGUGUAUUUAGGAACAACAAUCACACUGACUGUAGAGGUGGAGUGUAUUUAGGAUCAACAAUCACACUGACUGUAGAGGUGGAGUGUAUUUAGGAACAACAACCACACUGACAGUAGAGGUGGAUUGUAUUUAGGAACAACAAUCACACUGACUGUAGAGGUGAAGUGUACGUAGGAACAACAAUCACACUGACUGUAGAGGUGGAGUGUAUGUAGGAACAACAACUACACUGACUGUAGAGGUGAAGUGUACGUAGGAACAACAACCACACUGACUGUAGAGGUGAAGUGUACGUAGGAACAACAAUCACACUGACUGUAGAGGUGGAGUGUACGUAGGAACAACAACUACACUGACUGUAGAGGUGGAGUGUACAUAGGAAAAACAACCACACUGACUGUAGUGGUGGAGUGUAUGUAGGAACAACAAUCACACUGACUGUAGAGGUGGAGUGUUUUUAGGAACAACAACCACACUGACUGUAGACGUGGAGUUUAUUUAGGAACAACAAACACACUGACUGUAGAGGUGGAGUGUAUUUAGGAACAAUAACAACACUGAGUGUAGAGGUGGAGUGUAUUUAGGAACAACAACCACACUGACUGUAGAGGUGGAGUGUAUUUAGGAACAACAACCACACUGACUGUAGAGGUGGAGUGUACGUAGGAACAGCAACCACACUGACUAUAGAGGUGGAGUGUAUUUAGGAACAACAACCACACUGACUGUAGAGGUGGAGUGUAUUUAGGAACAACAACCACACUGACUGUAGAGGUGGAGUGUACGUAGGAACAGCAACCACACUGACUGUAGAGGUGGAGUGUAUUUAGGAACAACAACCACACUGACUGUAGAGGUGGAGUGUAUUUAGGAACAACAACCACACUGACAGUAGAGGUGGAUUGUAUUUAGGAACAACAAUCACACUGACUGUAGAGGUGGAGUGUAUUUAGGAUCAACAACCACACUGACUGUAGAGGUGGAGUGUAUUUAGGAACAACAACCACACUGACUGUAGAGGUGGAGUGUAUUUAGGAUCAACAACCCCACUGACUGUAGAGGUGGAGUGUAUGUAGGAACAGCAACCACACUGACUUUAGAGGUGGAGUGUAUUUAGGAACAACAACCACACUGACUGUAGAGGUGGAGUGUAUUUAGGAACAACAAUCACACUGACUGUAGAGGUGGAGUGUAUUUAGGAAC